AGCGAACGCUGGCGGCAGGCCUAACACAUGCAAGUCGAACGGAAAGGGGGGGGUUAGUGGCGGACGGGGGAGUAACACGUGGGAACGUGCCUUUAGGUUCGGAAUAGCUCCUGGAAACGGGUGGUAAUGCCGAAUGUGCCCUUAGGGGGAAAGAUUUAUCGCCCUUAGAGCGGCCCGCGUCUGAUUAGCUAGUUGGUGAGGUAAUGGUUCACCAAGGCUACGAUCAGUAGCUGGUCUGAGAGGAUGACCAGCCACAUUGGGACUGAGACACGGCCCAAACUCCUACGGGAGGCAGCAGUGGGGAAUCUUGCGCAAUGGGCGAAAGCCUGACGCAGCCAUGCCGCGUGGAUGAUGAAGGUCUUAGGAUUGUAAAAUCCUUUCACCGGUGAAGAUAAUGACUGUAGCCGGAGAAGAAGCCCCGGCUAACUUCGUGCCAGCCGCCGCGGUAA
rnacentral:rRNA from 1 species